UGGGGAAUUUUGGACAAUGGGGGAAACCCUGAUCCAGCCAUCCCGCGUGUGCGAUGAAGGCCUUCGGGUUGUAAAGCACUUUUGGCAGGAAAGAAACGUCAUGGGUUAAUACCCCGUGAAACUGACGGUACCUGCAGAAUAAGCACCGGCUAACUACGUGCCAGCAGCCGCGGUAAUACGUAGGGUGCAAGCGUUAAUCGGAAUUACUGGGCGUAAAGCGUGCGCAGGCGGUUCGGAAAGAAAGAUGUGAAAUCCCAGAGCUCAACUUUGGAACUGCAUUAUUAACUACCGGGCUAGAGUGUGUCAGAGGGAGGUGGAAUUCCUCGUGUAGCAGUGAAAUGCGUAGAUAUGCGGAGGAACACCGAUGGCGAAGGCAGCCUCCUGGGAUAACACUGACGCUCAUGCACGAAAGCGUGGGGAGCAAACAGG
rnacentral:rRNA from 1 species